UAUGUAUAUAGUAGUAUCCUAAUUGUGAGAUGAUAAGUCUAAAAAAGGGGUGCUAUAUUGCAGAAUGGACCAUGUCUAUGCAAGACUAACAGCUUAGAUACUGACAGUGUGUUGCCUCUGUUACUACAAUGCCACAAGGGCUCACUCAAAGCCGGCGGCCUGGUUAAGGGAUGCCGGUGCAUGUGUUCUCCUGCCGGCCAGCUCAGAGGCACCGGGAGCCACCGCGCAGGCACUAGCAGCGGCCGCCGAGCAUCACCGGCACUGCCGUGCACUUGCUGCAGCGCCGACACAGAGCGCCGCAGUAGUGCGGGGUGUGGUGCUCUUUGCACGUACCCCCACCACUCUGUCACAUGUUACAGUUCUGCUUUUGAAAUGUAUAGGAGCCCCAGUAGGGCUCCUGUAUAUUUCGAAGUCUGAGACCACAGGGCACACGGGGCUAGUUUUCAGGGAAUCCUUUUGAGCCCCACUGGGGCUCUUCUACAUUUCAAAGGCUCAGGUGCUGCAGGGAGUGUGAUGCCAGUCCCCCGCUGGCCCCGUGCUCUCUGCGGGGCUUCCGCUUUUACAGUUCAAAGGCGGAGGCACCCUUAUCGACUAAUCGAAUAGUCGAUGGAAAACACAUCAACUAUUUAAUUAGUUAAUUAAUCUAAAUGUAACAUCCCUAACUGGAACACAGAAAAAUACACUUAAAUCUGUCCUUGGGUAUAGAAUUAGUUGAAGAAGGACUGUAGUGGCAUGGGUUGCUUUUUGUUGAUGUAGUUAUUAUGCAUAGGGCUUACCAACCCUUCUUACUGCCACGUCUGCAAAAUCAAAGGGCGGGAUCUGGUAGUAAUUUUGCUACUUUGUUAGGUUCAAAUUCUGACCUGGAUGUAAACAGAGCUCUCUCUGUGAUUACAAGUCAAUGGAAGCCCCAUGAAUCCCGCAGCAGAAUAUUCUUGCUGAGAAAAAAAAAACAUACCCAAAUGUUUGAUGUAGCAGAUUUCUUUCAAAAAAGCAGCAUCUGGUCUGAAGUAUUUUAACACACUUACCCUAAUGAGUGUGACAUAUUGUAGACUUGCAGUGUUUUAAAGGUAAUCUCUUAAAGCUUCCAUGUUUAAUAUAGCCCAAUGAGAAAGGAGGAGCAAUAGAUUCCUUACGGCUGACCCUUAGAUCAACACUGCAUAACAAUAGGCUGGCUAUACAUAUACACACACAUACACACACGCAACUUCCUCACAAUAUCAUUCAAAAACUGACAAAUAAGAAGAUAUUAAACACUAUUUCACAAAUAAUCUGAUUAACAAGAGCUUCCGAAGAGCGCUCAGACUGAAAGAAGACUGAGUUUACGCGUUGAAAAAACAGAACUACCAUCAAAGGAAUCUGUCAGGAAGGAUAAAAGGGAAUGGAAGGCAUUGGGAAGGGCCUUGCCAGUAAAAGUGAUCUUUCAGCAGAAAUCAAUCCCUGAACAUCUGCCCCCCAAAAGUACCAGUAACAGAGACAUUACUAGUGCAUUUAGUACACUGUGCAAGUGCCACUGGAGACAACAGAGUAAAUAUUUUUGUUUUGCAUGCUCUCAACAAUAUAGGUGCUAAAGUUGACUCCUACAAAGAAAAACACUAAACAAUUUGGACAAUACUAAAAGCAACUGAAAGUUAGUUUUUAGUGUAGAAGUCAGAUACAAUGCAAGCAAGCUCUCCACCAGAAAGCCUACAGAAACGCUCACCUGGGUCAAGAAAAGGACAACAAAAACAUCCACAGGUUUACCACCAUGGUUUAACAGCAGCAAUAAUUUUCAAAACUGGUCUGUUCAGGAGCUAUACUCAGAUUAUUAAAGAACAGAGCAUGAAA